rnacentral:rRNA from 1 species
UACGGAGGGUGCAAGCGUUAUCCGGAUUUACUGGGUUUAAAGGGUGUGUAGGCGGGUCUUUAAGUCAGUGGUGAAAUCUCCGAGCUCAACUUGGAAACUGCCAUUGAUACUAUUGAUCUUGAAUUCUGUUGAGGUUGGCGGAAUAAGUCAUGUAGCGGUGAAAUGCAUAGAUAUGACGUAGAACACCGAUUGCGAAGGCAGCUAACUAAGCAGAUAUUGACGCUGAGGCACGAAAGCGUGGGGAUCAAACAGG